rnacentral:rRNA from 1 species
GAACGCGAAGAACCUUACCAGGUCUUGACAUUGAUGGACAGAACUAGAGAUAGUUCCUCUUCUUCGGAAGCCAGAAAACAGGUGGUGCACGGUUGUCGUCAGCUCGUGUCGUGAGAUGUUGGGUUAAGUCCCGCAACGAGCGCAACCCCUAUCUUAUGUUGCCAGCACUUCGGGUGGGAACUCAUGAGAGACUGCCGCAGACAAUGCGGAGGAAGGCGGGGAUGACGUCAAAUCAUCAUGCCCCUUAUGACCUGGGCUACACACGUACUACAAUGGGAGUUAAUAGACGGAAGCAAUACCGCGAGGUGGAGCAAACCCGAGAAACACUCUCUCAGUUCGGAUCGUAGGCUGCAACUCGCCUACGUGAAGUCGGAAUCGCUAGUAAUCGCAGGUCAGCAUACUGCGGUGAAUACGUUCCCGGGUCUUGUACACACC